UGGAAAAACACAGUACUAGC
rnacentral:miRNA from 1 species